rnacentral:rRNA from 1 species
UAGGGAAUAUUGCUUAAUGGGCGAAAGCCUGAAGCAGUAACGCCGCGUGUGCGAUGAAGGUCUUCGGAUUGUAAAGCACUUUUAGAGGGGAUGAGGAAGGACAGUACCCUCUGAAUAAGCCUCGGCUAACUACGUGCCAGCAGCCGCGGUAAAACGUAGGAGGCGAGCGUUAUCCGGAUUUACUGGGCGUAAAGCGCGUGUAGGCGGCACGAUAAGUUGGAUGUGAAAGCUCCUGGCUAAACUGGGAGAGGACGUUCAAUACUGUCGAGCUUGAGGAUGGGAGAGGGAGGUGGAAUUCCGGGUGUAGUGGUGAAAUGCGUAGAUAUCCGGAGGAACACCAGUGGCGAAGGCGGCCUCCUGGCCCAUUUCUGACGCUCAGACGCGAAAGCUAGGGUAGCAAACGG